CUUUUUUUUAGAUUGAUUGAACCGAAAAGGAUACUAACAUUAUGGUCCACCUAAAAUGUGUCAAAAAUGGAAAAUUAAAUCAAACCGAAAUCAGUGAUUAGAAGCUAAUAAAAGCCGAUGUGUAUAAAAUUUACAUGAACGACAAAUAUCUUUCACAAUUAUCAAGAUGUAUAAGGGAGCGGUCGGCGUUUUCUUGGGAUAAUCAUGACUUAAGUAAAAUGGCAGGUGAACGUCUCUACGUACCUUCUCUCUCGCAGCCUCACCUCAAUUCGUCUUUGAUAUGAACGAGAUUGCAAAGUGAACCAGACAUUAAGUCAACGACCAAAUGCUUUCCCAUGUAUUGAAAAUAUAGAGGUGCACAUUCCACAGAUUGCAAUAUAGUUGCGAGUGCGUAAGUUGUCAGCAAAACAAACACAUAGACCGCAGUAUCGGUGAAACCACCAGCGAUUCUGGAGAACUCUCCUGGUGGCCUCAAUUCUUGAGUACGAGCAUUAUAUCAACAGGUAUCCUUGCGCAAUGAGAACACAAAAUGAGCGAAGAAUAGGAAAGAGAUUUUAAUCGUUUAUAUAACGGCUUCCUUAAGUGUCAAUGGGAUGACUUCAACAAUAACAUCAUCUUGAACUUUUAGCCGUUCUUAAUUAUAAGUAACAAAAAUUAUU